GGGAGCUGUGGCUCACUGUCUGGUCGG
rnacentral:piRNA from 1 species